rnacentral:rRNA from 1 species
CCCCSUGGUAUUGCCUCAGUACGGCGAGUGAAGCGGCAAAAGCUCAAAUUUGAAAUCUAGCACCUUCGGUGUUCGAGUUGWAAUUUGAAGAUGGUAACCUUGGGUUUGGCUCUUGUCUWUGUUCCUUGGAACAGGACGUCAUAGAGGGUGAGAAUCCCGUCUGAUGAGAUGCCCAUUCCUAUGUAAGGUGCUAUCGAAGAGUCGAGUUGUUUGGGAAUGCAGCUCUAAGUGGGUGGUAAAUUCCAUCUAAAGCUAAAUAUUGGCGAGAGACCGAUAGCGAACAAGUACAGUGAUGGAAAGAUGAAAAGAACUUUGAAAAGAGAGUGAAAAAGUACGUGAAAUUGUUGAAAGGGAAGGGCAUUAGAUCAGACUUGGUGUUUUACGAUUAUCUUCUCUUCUUGAGUUGUGCACUCGUAUUUCACUGGGCCAGCAUCGAUUCGGAUGGCAAGAUAAUAGCAGUUGAAUGUGGCUUCACUUCGGUGGAGUGUUAUAGCUUCUGUUGAUAUUGCCUGUCUGGAUCGAGGGCUGCGUCUUUUGACUAGGAUGCUGGCGUAAUGAUCUAAUGCCGCCCGUCUUGAAACMACGGAC